UACGGAGGGGUGCGAGCCGUUGUCCGGAAUCGAUUGGGCGUAAAGGGCGCGUAGGUGGCCCCUCAAGCGUGCGGAUGAAAGUCAGGGGCUCAACCCCUGAUCGGCCGUGCGAACUGGGAGCUUGAGCGACUGUAGAGGCAGGCGGAAUUCCGGGUGUAGCGGUGGAAUGCGUAGAGAUCCGGAAGAACACCGGUGGCCGAAGGCGGC
rnacentral:rRNA from 1 species